CAAAAGAAUUUAACAAAAACACAAAUAAAAUAAUUUAAAAAAAAAAAUGUUAUACAUUAAAUUCAAAUUUUGUUCUUAAGCUGAAAGUGAUUGUGAUUUUUUAAAAAAUAUACGAUAAUAUAAAAUGUAUUGUUCCAUUCCCCCUUCUUCGUCGCAUACACGGACAUUUACUAUGCACAAUACAACAUUGACCAACACUUCGACGUAUGUCUAUACACUUAAAAAUAUUUCCUAACACGCCGACAUGCAUAUUACUAAAAGCUCGUACUGAUAUUCACACACUUAAAUAUGUGCAGAAACGUAUUAACCAACACUACGAUGUAAUGACAACUUAAAAGCCAUCAAUUCAACACAAUCUUAUUACACAUAGGUAUUGUCUAACACUAUGCCGCAUAACUUAAUAAAAAAAAAUUGAUGCUGAAAUUCACUAUUGCGCAACACUACAAUGUAUAUAUGUAAAUGUAACUAUUCACACACUCGAACUAUCCAACACUGUGAGGUAGGCUGACUCGGAAUCAAAUAUUUAAAUUUACACUCAACUAUGCUCAUACUUGUAUUGGCCAAUACUACAACUUAUGCACAAUUCGCUGCACGAAUUGAUAUACACACCGAACUAUGCACCAUAACCUAUUGCCUAACACUACGACGUUCAACACUGGCAUCGCGCUCUAACUAGACGAGCAAACACAUGAUGAUGAGUAAAGAGCUUCGAUAUGUCAACGGGAUGCUGUUUGAUACGGACUGUAUCUGCAAUUAAUAUUAGAAGUUUUGCUGGUAUCGCAAAGUACUCUAUUUGAAGGUUUCCAAAAUUUGCUGU
rnacentral:sRNA from 1 species